rnacentral:tRNA from 1 species
GGAAGUGGCUGGGUCCUGGUGGACCCCCUGGACUUCAAAUCCAGUGGCGGGCGUAGAAGUCCGCGGCGGGUUCGAUUCCCGUACACUUCCGCCA